AAAUUUUAUAUUUUUUAUUUAAAUACUCUGCUUUAUCUGUUGAAAUAAGCCUUAAAAUGGAAUAUCUGCAAUUAUUUUUUUUUUAUCCCUAGGGUCUUAAGAUACACCUUAUUGCUAUUUGUCCGCCAUUACUGGAUAUCACACAGGUUCCUGUAAAUUUUUUACGUCAUAAUACAAAAGUGAUUGUUGUAUGCGUCAAAAGUUCAAGCGGCCAGGUCAGCCAGGAUUAGCGAUAAGGUGUAUUGACCUUUUGUGUUAGAAUUUUUUAAACUGGAUACAGAAAUGUGUGCAAUAUUUGUAACGGUAUACAGUGUAUGUGAAAGUGAAAAAAUAGCAAGAAAAUGAUUGGCUUGAAAUAUAAUCACCCUAUCAUUUACAUGAAUAAAUGAAAUGAAACAAAUGUUAACACUAUUGUAAAAUAAGAUAUUUACCUAAAGGACUAUUCCAUUAUAUGGAAUGUAGGAUGAUAGGGUGGGAUGUCCAAAAUCCCCACACAAGAACAUUCUGUCUUUGAGUAACUUUGCCUAAAUAAAGGGUCUCGUUCAGGGUCUUCGGUUUUUUAGACCAUGUUGGUCUAUUCUUUUUUUUUUUGCCCAUUAUUCUCUAUUCUUUAAAUCUUUAAAUUUCAACACCUCAUCAUUCUCUUCUCUUUAUUUUUGGCCUAUUUUUUAUUUUUUUGGGGGGAGGGGUGGGUGGGUGGAGAUGCAUUUAUUUGCCUGUUAUUUUCUAUUCUGUAAACCCCAUCAGACCCUCUUGCAUCAAAUUGGCAAAUAACAAUAAACGACCGAAGAUCCUUGUUCAUAAAUUAAAUUUCCUUCCUUACCCUCCAUCAUUUAAUAUAAUGGAAUAUCCCAAACUUGAUUUUGAAAUAGGACUUUUAAACUUAGUAGAUCAAGCCUGCAAAAAUUAUAAUCAGGGAGAACUGUAUAAAAAAGAGAAAUCAGGUAUAUACAGAUAAUUUAAUUGUGGAAUAGUUUUAUGAUUUUGAAUUAUUUAUUUCAGAACUUUUUAAAAAUGUCAUUGAAGAACUGCAAAACAACUAUUUUUUUGUCUCCUAGCUAAAACCAUAAGUUAGUGCCAACACAUAUGUAUGCAAUAGUAAAACUUUUCAAAGUUGUGUGUCUGUUAUACUAUAUUUAUGUGUAUUUACAUUUUAUCAAUUAGUUUAAAUUUAAAAUCAUUUAAUACCUCUUUUUUUUUGUGAGUUUUUCUCAAUUUACCAAGGGUCUCCUUCUGUUGGUUGAAAAGAAAAACGAGAGUCUGAUAUUUUUAUUCAAAUAAAGGAAUUUGUUUUUAUUUUGAAGUUUAAGGAACACACGCGAAAUUAGGGUAAACGCAUGAAUUUUAGAUGGAAUUUAUAGAAAACUUCAAUAAAAAUUAAUGAAUUAUUAGGUUGAAGCAAUGUAGUGAUAUAGAGAGGCAUAACAAAGCUCUGUGAUAAAAUGUGCUUUGAGGAAAUGCUCUGUAGUUGAGAGUCGGAAUGAGGUUUACAUUAUAGAAAAUAUGGGACUCAUGCUACAGAAAAAAUGGGCCUAAAAAUUUAAGAAAAAAGAAAAAUAGGCCAAAAAGAUAUAGGAAAUAGAAAAGUGAGCAAACUUUACUAAGAAAAAUGGAUAAGGUAUAAUAAUAAAAAAAUGAAGAACCCUCAUCUCGACCCUCAUAGUUAGCUAUAUAUAGGAUCUAUGUACACAUGGAGGCACAGC
rnacentral:lncRNA from 1 species